rnacentral:rRNA from 1 species
GAGAGCCUGAACCAGCCAAGUAGCGUGCAGGAUGACGGCCCUAUGGGUUGUAAACUGCUUUAUAAGGGAAUAAAGUGGGUCUCGUGAGACUUUUGCAUGUACCUUAUGAAUAAGGACCGGCUAAUUCCGUGCCAGCAGCCGCGGUAAUACGGAAGGUCCGGGCGUUAUCCGGAUUUAUUGGGUUUAAAGGGAGCGUAGGCCGGAGAUUAAGCGUGUUGUGAAAUGUAGUGGCUCAACCUCUGCACUGCAGCGCGAACUGGUCUUCUUGAGUACGCACAACGUGGGCGGAAUUCGUGGUGUAGCGGUGAAAUGCUUAGAUAUCACGAAGAACUCCGAUUGCGAAGGCAGCUCACGGGAGCGCAACUGACGCUGAAGCUCGAAAGUGCGGGUAUCGAACAGGAUUAGAUACCCUGGUAGUCCGCACGGUAAACGAUGGAUGCCCGCUGUUGGCCUGAAUAGGUCAGCGGCCAAGCGAAAGCAUUAAGCAUCCCACCUGGGGAGUACGCCGGCAACGGUGAAACUCAAAGGAAUUGACGGGGGCCCGCACAAGCGGAGGAACAUGUGGUUUAAUUCGAUGAUACGCGAGGAACCUUACCCGGGCUUGAAUUGCAGAGGAAGGAUUUGGAGACAAUGACGCCCUUCGGGGUCUCUGUGAAGGUGCUGCAUGGUUGUCGUCAGCUCGUGCCGUGAGGUGUCGGCUUAAGUGCCAUAACGAGCGCAACCCCUCUCCUCAGUUGCCAUCAGGUGAAGCUGGGCACUCUGGGGACACUGCCACCGUAAGGUGUGAGGAAGGUGGGGAUGACGUCAAAUCAGCACGGCCCUUACGUCCGGGGCUACACACGUGUUACAAUGGCAGGUACAGAGAGACGGUCGUUCGCAAGUACGAUCAAAUCCUUAAAGCCUGUCUCAGUUCGGACUGGGGUCUGCAACCCGACCCCACGAAGCUGGAUUCGCUAGUAAU